rnacentral:rRNA from 1 species
GAGUUUGAUCCUGGCUCAGAACGAACGCUGGCGGCAGGCCUAACACAUGCAAGUCGAACGUGAAGCCGCCCUUCGGGGCGGUGGAAAGUGGCGCACGGGUGAGUAACGCGUGGGAACCAACCCUGAGGUACGGAAUAACAGCUGGAAACGGCUGCUAAUACCGUAUGUNCCCUACGGGGGAAAGAUUUAUCGCCUUGGGACGGGCCCGCGUCGGAUUAGCUUGUUGGUGGGGUAACGGCCCACCAAGGCUCCGAUCCGUAGCUGGUCUGAGAGGAUGAUCAGCCACACUGGAACUGAGACACGGUCCAGACUCCUACGGGAGGCAGCAGUGGGGAAUAUUGCGCAAUGGGGGAAACCCUGACGCAGCCAUGCCGCGUGAGUGAAGAAGGUCUUCGGAUUGUAAAGCUCUUUCAACGGGGAAGAUGAUGACGGUACCCGUAGAAGAAGCCCCGGCUAACUUCGUGCCAGCAGCCGCGGUAAUAUGAAGGGGGCAAGCGUUGUUCGGAAUUACUGGGCGUAAAGGGCGUGUAGGCGGUGCGAUCAGUCAGAGGUGAAAGCCCCGGGCUCAACCUGGGAAUUGCCUUUAAUACUGUCGCACUAGAGUUCGGGAGAGGGUAGUGGAAUUCCCAGUGUAGAGGUGAAAUUCGUAGAUAUUAGGAAGAACACCGGUGGCGAAGGCGGCUACCUGGACCGAUACUGACGCUGAGGCGCGAAGGUNGGGGAGCAAACAGGAUUAGAUACCCUGGUAGUCCACGCCGUAAACNAUGUCUGCUAGUCGUUNGGGGG